rnacentral:tRNA from 1 species
GCCGGGAUGGCGGAACCAGGUAUCGCGUCAGCCUCGAGAGCUGAUGGGCUUCGGCCCAUGUGGGUUCGAAUCCCACUCCCGGCGCCA